AGUUGGUCAGGCAAUCGCUCUUUAAUGAACUAUUUAUAGUGACGUAAAGGGAGGAAAGUCCGGGCUCCAAAGGGUAGAGUGCCAGGUAACGCCUGGGGGGCGAGAGCCUACGGAAAGUGCAACAGAGAGUAAACCGCCAGAAGUAGCAAUAUUCCUGGUAAGGGUGAAAGGGUGCGGUAAGAGCGCACCGCGCAGCUGGUAACAGGUGUGGCGAUGGUAAACCCCACUCGGAGCAAGACCAAAUAGGAAUCCAAUAGGUGUGACCCGCACUGGAUUCGGGUAGGUUGCUUGAGGCAGUUGGUGACAGCUGUCCCAGAUGAAUGAUUGUCCGCGACAGAACCCGGCUUAUCGACCGACUUUU
rnacentral:RNase_P_RNA from 1 species